GAUGAACGCUAGCGGCAGGCCUAACACAUGCAAGUCGAGGGGUAGAGGUUGCUUGCAACCUUGAGACCGGCGCACGGGUGCGUAACGCGUAUGCAAUCUACCUUAUACAAAGGGAUAGCCCAGAGAAAUUUGGAUUAAUACCUUAUAGUAUGUUUGAGUGGCAUCAUUUAAACAUUAAAGUUCCAACGGUAUAAGAUGAGCAUGCGUCCCAUUAGUUAGUUGGUAAGGUAACGGCUUACCAAGACAAUGAUGGGUAGGGGUCCUGAGAGGGAGAUCCCCCACACUGGUACUGAGACACGGACCAGACUCCUACGGGAGGCAGCAGUGAGGAAUAUUGGUCAAUGGGCGCAAGCCUGAACCAGCCAUGCCGCGUGCAGGAUGACGGUCCUAUGGAUUGUAAACUGCUUUUAUACAGGAAGAAACACUCCCUCGUGAGGGAGCUUGACGGUACUGUAGGAAUAAGGAUCGGCUAACUCCGUGCCAGCCGCCGCGGUAAGAC
rnacentral:rRNA from 1 species